rnacentral:tRNA from 1 species
GGCCUCGUGAUGGAAUGGUAGACAUAGCGGACUUAAAAUCCGUGCCCUUAUGGGAGUGCCGGUUCAAGUCCGGCCGAGGCUACCA